GACGUAGGGCGCGAGCGUUGUCCGGAUUUAUUGGGCGUAAAGGGCGCGUAGGCGGCCUGGCAAGUGGAAGGUGAAAUCCCUCGGCUUAACCGAGGAACUGCCCUCCAAACUGCUUGGCUUGAGUCCGGGAGAGGUGAGUGGAAUUCCCAGUGUAGCGGUGAAAUGCGUAGAUAUUGGGAGGAACACCAGUGGCGAAGGCGGCUCACUGGACCGGAACUGACGCUGAGGCGCGAAAGCGUGGGGAGCAAACGGG
rnacentral:rRNA from 1 species